CCCUUAGAUGUUCUGGGUCGCACGCGUGCUACACUGAGUGGAUCAGCGGGUCAGGUUGCGCGAAAGUGUUUCCUAAUCUUUAAAUCCGCUCGUGAUGGGGAUUGACGGUUGCAAUUUUCCGUCAUGAACGAGGAAUACCUUGUAAGCGCGGGUCAUCAUCCCGCGCUGAAUACGUCCCUGCCCUUUGUACACACCGCCCGUCGCUCCUACCGAUUGAGUGGUCCGGUGAGGCUUUGGGAUCUGGGCGGAAAGAGCGUUUCGCUGUUUCUGCCCGGAAAACUCAGUCGAACCUUAUCAUUUAGAGGAAGGAGAAGUCGUAACA
rnacentral:rRNA from 1 species